CCUUAGCCGGAUGGCGGGGACAAAGGGGGAACGAGAGAGCCAGCGACUGACGAGGAGGAGGGUUUCGCCGAGAGCAACCCAGAGGGACCAGGACGGAAAGGGGGCUCCCCUGGUCUCAUGCCUUCAUCAGCCUCAACUCCCCAUCCAUGGCCAGCAGUGAGAAGAUGCUAACACGACGUUGGACGUGGCUUCCUUCUACCUUCCCUGCCAGCCCAAAGCCCUGGCCAUCAGGCUUGUGGAGGAGAGCCUGGCCCUAAGAAUGAGCCCGAGCAACCCCAGCAGUCAUGCCCAAGAAGAGGCUGAAGGUCCGUCGCAGGGAGGAGCCUGCCCAGGUACCUGAGCCCCCUUCCAGUUGGGUACAAUUGCUGCUCCAGUGACUGCAGAGAGAAAAAGAAGACAUGACCAGAUGGAGACAGAGCUGGAAAGGAAGAAAGUUACUCCCAGAGAGAGGGUGGCUGAAGGUGUCAUGAUCCCGGAGAGAGAGAAUGGGGAUAGGAGAGGCAACACCCUGAGAGAUAGGGUAAA